rnacentral:piRNA from 1 species
UGAACAAGGGAGAGAAAACAGGAACU